rnacentral:hammerhead_ribozyme from 1 species
AUCCGGUAGACCAGUCCUAAGUAGGACGAAAUGCGCAUCCUGGAU